rnacentral:rRNA from 1 species
GACGAACGCUGGCGGCGUGCUUAACACAUGCAAGUCGAACGGAAAGGCCCUGCUUUUGUGGGGUGCUCGAGUGGCGAACGGGUGAGCAACACGUGAGUAACCUGCCCUUGACUUUGGGAUAACUUCAGGAAACUGGGGCUAAUACCGGAUAAGAGCUCCUGCUGCAUGGUGGGGGUUGGAAAGUUUCGGCGGUUGGGGAUGGACUCGCGGCUUAUCAGCUUGUUGGUGGGGUAGUGGCUUACCAAGGCUUUGACGGGUAGCCGGCCUGAGAGGGUGACCGGCCACAUUGGGACUGAGAUACGGCCCAGACUCCUACGGGAGGCAGCAGUGGGGAAUAUUGCACAAUGGGCGGAAGCCUGAUGCAGCAACGCCGCGUGCGGGAUGACGGCCUUCGGGUUGUAAACCGCUUUCGCCUGUGACGAAGCGUGAGUGACGGUAAUGGGUAAAGAAGCACCGGCUAACUACGUG